rnacentral:lncRNA from 1 species
AAGUGGGUCUAGUGUCAGGGGACCAAAUGCUGUCAAUUUGGAGAUAUGUGGUUGUCGGGGCAGUUGUUGCAGCUGCUGUACUCACUCCAUCAACUGAUCCUCUUACUCAGGUGCUUUUAGCGGCACCUCUUCUGGGUCUUUAUUUGGGUGGUGCGUGGAUGGUCAAGCUCACUGGCCGAUGACUUGUUUUCACAUAGAGGAUUUGUUCUCAGUGAUUAGUGCAUGU